rnacentral:rRNA from 1 species
UACGUAGGGGGCAAGCGUUGUCCGGAAUCAUUGGGCGUAAAGCGCGCGUAGGCGGCCCGGUAAGUCCGUUGUGAAAGUCAAAGGCUCAACCUUUGAACGCCGAUGGAUACUGCCGGGCUAGAGUCCGGAAGAGGCGAGUGGAAUUCCUGGUGUAGCGGUGGAAUGCGCAGAUAUCAGGAGGAACACCCGUGGCGAAGGCGGCUCUCUGGGACGGUACUGACGCUGAGACGCGAAAGCGUGGGGAGCGAACAGG